UAUCUUGUUGUUUUUGCCAGGUUAUUGAGGGCCUGUUUCAUGUUGCUGCCCACACAUUCAAUGUGGUGGACACCGUCUACAUUAUGAAUCACUACUCAGCAGGUGGGAUUUUGUUCAGUGACAGAACUGAACUACCUCGUCACAGUUUACCAAAGGUAAACUUUGACAACUAUGAAGCUGUUCUGUCAUUUGUGCUAGUCAACGGCAACCACUGGAACUUACUGUACAUUAAUGCAGAAACCAGCACAGUAUUUCUGAUGGAUCCAGCACGAUUGUCAUCAGAGCUUGAGGACUCUGAACAUGCUGCUAAAAGAAUACAGUAAAUCAACAUUUCAGCUAGUUUUGAAAAUUCUAAUACAAAUAUAUCUAAAUGUUUAAAGUGAAUAACAGUUAUUUACAUUAAUAUUCACAUACAACACUGACAACUGCUGUAAAUGAGAAUUGUGUAGAGGUAAGUAUUCAGUGAGUAACAUUUAUGGCUGAUCUGCACCAGUCCAUCAAACUUUGUUUAUUCACUUAAGUUACCAACUGUAACAAAAUCCCUAUUUAAAGUGUAUUAAAAUUAACGUUAUUCAGGGAAUACUUAAGGAUGCGGAGGACACGCCAUGGCAAAGAAGACUGGUUGGAUAUUAGGUGGAAAGGGGGAGUUAUGAGCCACCCAGUUCAACAGGAUGGAAGUAGCUGCGGUGUCAUUGUUGUCAAGAUGGCAAAAGCAGUGAUGGAGGCAUUUCCUCAGAUCCCAGAUGUUAAAUUUGAGACAUCCAAAAAGGCCAUGAAAAAGGAGAGGAGAGAUCUGGCUCUCGAAAUCCUAAAGGCAUCAGUCUUUGAUGAGCACACUUGUUGCGCAAUGUGUGCAGCCGUGAAGCCUCCGGGAUCUGGACCUCCCAUUACAGACUGGGUGAGUUGUU
rnacentral:lncRNA from 1 species